AUGACUUUGCCAAACAGCAUACAACAGCUCACAAAUCUCCAAGAAUUAGCAAUUUACUUUCGCACUAACUUAAAGCAGUGGCGUGAAGCAGAGGAGAACAAGACAAAGCUUGCUCACAUAGAACAAAAAGGUAUGCACCCUGCCAUGUAUGUAUUCCUAUUAACUCUGCACUUAGAACGCAUUCCAUCAUCGGUAGUACCACAUCUUCGUUUCCUGCCCUUCACUUUGUUGAUGAUAUUUUUCGAAGAAACAUCUAGAUUUCCUUUCACUCGUAAUUUUUGUUUUUUGCUCAAUUUAACAUGUUGA
rnacentral:rRNA from 1 species